rnacentral:rRNA from 1 species
CCGCCAGAGAACUACAAGUGAAAAACUUGAAACUCAAAGGACUUGACGGUAUCCCAUAUCGACCUAGAGGAGCCUGUCCUAUAAUCGAUACCCCUCGCUCCACCCAACCAUAACUAGCACAACAGCAGCCUAUAUACCGCCGUCGAUCAGCCUACCCUAUGAAGGUCUAACAGUAGACACAAUAGCCCAACCGCUAGUACGUCAGGUCAAGGUGUAGCAAAUGUUAUGGAAGAGAUUGGCUACAUUUUUUAUGAUAAAAACACGAAAAGUAUUAUGAAACAAUACAUGAAGGUGAAUUUAGUAGUAAAAU